GGUCGGCCUGGGCGACGGAGGGGACCUCGACGGUGCCGUCGUCGGCGAGCCCCAGUUCGAGGAGGGGGCCGGUGUC
rnacentral:tRNA from 1 species